rnacentral:rRNA from 1 species
CCCUUAGAUGUCCGGGGCUGCACGCGCGCUACACUGAAGGAAUCAGCGUGCUAAAACCAUUGUCGAAAGGCAUUGGUAAACCCAUUAAAAUCCUACGUGAUUGGGAUCGGGAAUUGCAAUUAUUUCCCUUGAACGAGGAAUUCCCAGUAAGUGUGGGUCAUAAGCUCGCGUUGAUUACGUCCCUGUCCUUUGUACACACCGCCCGUCGCUGCCCGGGACUGAGCCGUUUCGAGAAAAGCGGGGACUGCUGCUGUCGGGGCUUUCGGGCCUUGGCUUCGGUGGAAACCGCUUUAAUCGCAGUGGCUUGAACCGGGCAAAAGUCGUANCA